rnacentral:rRNA from 1 species
AACGUAGGGUGCAAGCGUUGUCCGGAAUUACUGGGUGUAAAGGGAGCGCAGGCGGGAAGACAAGUUGGAAGUGAAAACCAUGGGCUCAACCCAUGAAUUGCUUUCAAAACUGUUUUUCUUGAGUAGUGCAGAGGUAGAUGGAAUUCCCGGUGUAGCGGUGGAAUGCGUAGAUAUCGGGAGGAACACCAGUGGCGAAGGCGGUCUACUGGGCACCAACUGACGCUGAGGCU